UUGCAGAAACCAUAUAAUCGCCCAUAAGUAAAACGACACGUGGCAAACUUUUAUUGGUAGUUCGAAGGACAUUUAUGUCAUUGAGUCGGUACACCCUAUAUAUAGAACGACCUCUCCCGAUCUAUCUUUCAUUCACUUUCCAUAGUUUUCGCUAUUCGAUAAAAUUCUAAACUGUCUUUUUUUCUUGUUCGAAAAAUCUACUAUUCAAGAUGCAAAUUGUUGUUAAGACCAUUACUGAAAAGACCUUAACUUUGGAGGUUGAAAGUUCUGAUACAAUUGGUAGUGUAAAGGCGAAAGUUCAGGAUAAAGAAGGAAUUCCUUCAGACAAACAGAAGAUAAUAUUCGCUGGGAAGCAAUUGGAGGAUGGUCGUACUCUGGCUAACUGUAAUGUACAGAACGGAUCUAUUCUGCACUUGUUGUUGAGGCUUCGUGGUGGGAUGCAAAUAUUUGUGAAAACACUUACCUUGGAGGUGUAACGCUCUAUUCAG